AUACGGGGGAUGCGAGCGUUAUCCGGAUUUAUUGGGUUUAAAGGGAGCGUAGGUGGGAUAUUAAGUCAGCUGUGAAAGUUUGGGGCUCAACCUUAAAAUUGCAGUUGAUACUGGUUUCCUUGAGUACGGUAUAGGUGGGCGGAAUUCGUGGUGUAGCGGUGAAAUGCUUAGAUAUCACGAAGAACUCCGAUCGCGAAGGCAGCUCACCGGGCCGGAACUGACACUGAUGCUCGAAAGUGCGGGUAUCAAACAGGAUUAGAUACCCUGGUAGUCCGCACAGUAAACGAUGAAUACUCGCUGUUUGCGAUACACUGUAAGCGGCCAAGCGAAAGCGUUAAGUAUUCCACCUGGGGAGUACGCCGGCAACGGUGAAACUCAAAUGAAUUGACGGGG
rnacentral:rRNA from 1 species